rnacentral:tRNA from 1 species
GGUAGCUCAGUCGGUAGAACAGGGGGCUGAAAAUCCCUGUGUCGGCAGUUCGAUUCUAUUCAAACA